GACAUCCGGAGUGACAUACAAAAGGCAGUGGAGCCCCUCCCUGCCUCUCUCCCCUCCUCCCCUCAACAGUCGGGUGCCCAUCAGCAGAGCGAGCCGGAGGACAGCCAGGCAGAGCGGAGCGCCAGGCCCACCACUGACAACCACAGCAAGGACACCCAGCCAGCCGCCGGCCACCGAGACGACAAAAAAGAUAUGCCAAAUAGAGCUACAGACCCAGCCUGACAUUGGAAAUGAGCUAAUUGCAUCUUCUCCAGUACUUCAGUGUGGAGUCCAUUGAUGGGACUAUGUUUCAUGAAGCCGUUAGAAGACUGUUGCUGACUGAGAGGAGUCUGGCACUAACCCAGAACUAUCAGAAGCAUCUUUCUUUCGGCUGCUUAGYACAACUGCAUUCAGGCAACAACCCAUACUGUGCUGGCGGUAGAUAGCCCAGCGGCUAAAGAGGUGGACCUGUGGCAGGAGUUGGACCUGUGGCCAGUUCGAAUCCUGGGCCAGGUGCUGGAAAAAACGAACGGAAUUGAUCUGCCAACUGGAGGGCAGCAGGGUUCAUAUCCUCAAAACAUUCACCUACCGUUGGGCUGUUGAGCAAGGUCUUUAACCCCACAACAUCUUCAUCCAGGGGCUGCUGCACUGCAGCUUCAAUCUGUGCUCAUCUCAACUGUAUGUGUCAGGUCUGCUGUUUGGGGGUUUAGAAACAGAGCAGAAGGCAAUUUUUGGGGGGUUCGCUGUAACUAAUGGACAAAGUUGUAUUGUAUUUUAUUGUAAAGAAGUCAGACAGAGUUGACAUGAGCCUUCAUUCAAACAAAGAGAUGUCAGCUACAGUUGACAGCCAGAGUUGACGUUGGCAC